ACGCUGGCGGCGUGCCUAAUACAUGCAAGUAGAACGCUGAAGGAGGAGCUUACUUCUCUGGAUGAGUUGCGAACGGGUGAGUAACGCGUAGGUAACCUGCCUGGUAGCGGGGGAUAACUAUUGGAAGCGAUAGCUAAUACCGCAUAACAGUAGAUGUUGCAUGACAUUUGCUUAAAAGGUGCAGUUGCAUCACUACCAGAUGGACCUGCGUUGUAUUAGCUAGUUGGUGGGGUAACGGCUCACCAAGGCGACGAUACAUAGCCGACCUGAGAGGGUGAUCGGCCACACUGGGACUGAGACACGGCCCAGACUCCUACGGGAGGCAGCAGUAGGGAAUCUUCGGCAAUGGACGGAAGUCUGACCGAGCAACGCCGCGUGAGUGAAGAAGGUUUUCGGAUCGUAAAGCUCGGUUGUAAGAGAAGAACAGGUGUGAGAGUGGAAAGUUCACACUGUGACGGUAUCUUACCAGAAAGGGACGGCUAACUACGUGCCAGCAGCCGCGGUAAUACGUAGGUCCCGAGCGUUGUCCGGAUUUAUUGGGCGUAAAGCGAGCGCAGGCGGUUAGAUAAGUCUGAAGUUAAAGGCUGUGGCUUAACCAUAGUACGCUUUGGAAACUGUUUAACUUGAGUGCAAGAGGGGAGAGUGGAAUUCCAUGUGUAGCGGUGAAAUGCGUAGAUAUAUGGAGGAACACCGGUGGCGAAAGCGGCUCUCUGGCUUGUAACUGACGCUGAGGCUCGAAAGCGUGGGGAGCAAACAGGAUUAGAUACCCCUGGUAGUCCACGCCGUAAACGAUGAGUGCUAGGUGUUAGACCCUUUCCGGGGUUUAGUGCCGCAGCUAACGCAUUAAGCACUCCGCCUGGGGAGUACGACCGCAAGGUUGAAACUCAAAGGAAUUGACG
rnacentral:rRNA from 1 species